rnacentral:rRNA from 1 species
GCCAGACUCCUACGGGAGGCAGCAGUGGGGAAUAUUGCACAAUGGGGGAAACCCUGAUGCAGCAACGCCGCGUGAGUGAAGAAGCGUUUCGGCGCGUAAAGCUCUUUCAGCGGGGAAGAAAGAAAUGACGGUACCUGACUAAGAAGCCCCGGCUAACUACGUGCCAGCAGCCGCGGUAAUACGUAGGGGGCAAGCGUUAUCCGGAUUUACUGGGUGUAAAGGGAGCGUAGACGGCAGAGCAAGUCUGAAGUGAAAGCCCGCGGCCCAACUGCGGGACUGCUUUGGAAACUGCCCGGCUAGAGUGCUGGAGAGGUAAGCGGAAUUCCUAGUGUAGCGGUGAAAUGCGUAGAUAUUAGGAGGAACGCCAGUGGCGAAGGCGGUCUGCUGGACAGCAACUGACGGUGAGGCGCGAAAGCGUGGGGAGCAAACAGGAUUAGAUACCCCUGUAUG